rnacentral:rRNA from 1 species
CUACAAUGGCCGGUACAAAGAGAAGCGAGACUGUGAGGUGGAGCAAAACUCAAAAACCGGUCCCAGUUCGGACUGCAGGCUGAAACUCGCCUGCACGAAGUUGGAAUCGCUAGUAAUCGCGGAUCAGCAUGCCGCGGUGAAUACGUUCCCGGGCCUUGUACACACCGCCCGUCACACCAUGAGAGUCGGGAACACCCGAAGUCCGUAGCCUAACCGCAAGGGGGGCGCGGCCGAAGGUGGGUUCGAUAAUUGGGGUGAAGUCGUAACAAGGUAGC